UCUCUCCGAAGAACGCCGUCACUAGGUGCUUUUGACUCUCCUCAGUUUCAAUUUCUGGUUUUUGAGAUCAAAAGAGGUCUCUGCAAAAUCCCUUUUGAUGUGCUCAGUCGGGAUUGGCUUUACUCAAUGCUAAAUCAGAACCGUGAAUUUCUAUUGCCACUACACUCGGUUGGUUUGUGAAUGAGGACUCAAAAGGUUGAUGGUUCUUUGUUUGCAUGUUAUCUUGGUCAUAUGCACUAUUUGAUGUUGGAUUAAUCGUGCUAUUGGCUUGAUGCAAGUUAGUUCCUGUUAGCAAGUCCAUACCAAUUGCAGCCUGUGCUCAGUUGAUGUUGUGAUGCUUUUGCAGCAUGGAGUGUUUAUAUGUUGCAGGUUGUUGUACCUUGCAUUGGUUUUGUUGGCAUAAUGAUGAUGAUAACAUGAUGGUCAGCAGGAAGAACAAGGAAGAUACUGGUACGUGUGGACUUUGCAGUGGUUGUGCAAGACAUAUGUAUGUAUGCAGCAGCAAGCA